CGCAAGAAAUCAUUGGAAAAAUCAAAACCAAGAAAUUCAUCCCCAAAUCAAAACAUGGAAAUCUUCAAAUCAUCUCAAGAAUAUUCAAGGGUUUGUAUAUAUAGGCAGCCAUGUGUGAAGGAGUAGGGUAUCGGUGAUUAAUCUGUCAAAGUUAUUCUUACGGUAAUUUAGUAGGUUGAUUCUUCAAUUCAUCUUAUCUCUCAACUCUUCUCUAAUUUUCUGUCAUUUUUCAUUUACGAGUUUCACCAAAUUUCCAUAUCUAAAUUCUCUAUGACAAAUAAAAAAUUGAGUCUUGUGUCAAUUUGAGCCUGGAGCCACCAGGGGUUUUGCUGCGUAGAGUGGAAAGGAACCCCAUGUGCAAAGCCUGAAAAUCAAAGGGGUUAACGAUAUCAUAGCAGUUGCUUCUGGCAAGGGUGGCGUUGGAAAAUCCACUACCGCUGUGAAUUUGACGGUUUCACUCGCCAAGAAGUGUCAGCUUAAAUUUGGGCUGCUGGAUGCGGAUGUAUAUGGACCAUCAAUUCCUAUAAUGAUGAAACUACAUGGAAAGCCUGAAGUGAGUGCAGAUAAGAAAAUGAUCCCAAUUGAAAAUUAUGGAGUCAAGUGUAUGUCAAUGGGAUCUCUUGUGGCAAAAAGUGAGGCGCUUGUUUGGAGAGGUCCAAUGGUAAGCCUAGCAUUGUUUAUUAAUUUUCUUGUGUUUCGUUAGUUUUCCGCCUAUCAAGAAGUAGAUUUGGAUCAUAUAUAUAUAUAUAUAUAUAUAUAAUUCAUUCUUGGCAAUUAGGCAUUUCAGUUGGUUUGUCAUACUAAGUUGUGUCAUAGAAAUGGACAUUAAUAUUUGGAUGAUGAUCACUUGGUGAAUAUUGAGCUACCAACCUGGUCAUAUGAUAAUAUAUAUGUUUUGCACGUGUAACUUUAUUUCAUGGAGUAUUAUUUCGGAGGAAGUACAUUAUUUCGGGUGAGUUCCCUUUUUCUUUUUGACCGGAAGGUGCUGAGCUAUUUCUGGAAAGAUGGCCAUAAUUAGAGAAAAAAGAAAGAUGGAAAGGCAGUGAAGGAGGCUCAUGAAAGGCUCAAGGUAUAUGCUGGAUGAUAUUUCUCUGCUUCAUGGACUUCAAUUUUAUUGGUUGAAAUCUGAAAAAUUGCUCUAGCAGUUUGUUA